UUCAGCCCAGACCUGACUGCAGUUUUCCUCUCUGCAGAUUUUCCGACGGGCGGAUAAAAACGAUGAUGGGAAGCUGUCCCUGGAGGAAUUUCAGCUCUUCUUCGCAGAUGGUGUCCUCAAUGAGAAGGAGCUUGAGGGCCUCUUCCACACCAUUGACUCAGACAACACCAACCAUGUGGACACCAAGGAACUGUGUGAUUACUUUGUGGAGCACAUGGGAGACUAUGAGGACGUUCUGGCAUCUCUGGAGACCUUGAACCACUCAGUCCUGAAGGCCAUGGGCUACACCAA